rnacentral:rRNA from 1 species
AGAGUGACGGGCGAUAUGUACAUAUUCUAUUGCCGUAUUCAAACGAUUUUUCUAAAAUCGUUUUACUAACAAAUCCACCUUCACCUUUUUCUUCCUAGAGAAUCCGUAUUAUUAAUAAUAAUUGUAGCUCAUUUAAUCUUUACUAUAAGUUGCACCUUGACCUGAAGUAAAAAACUAAUUUUUGAAGAAGACGCUCUUUUAAGGUAAUCUGCCAACGGCGGUAUACAAACUAAGUAAGUAAAGUAAGAUAUAGUGGGGAUCAUCAAUUCAUAAACAAGCUCCUCUGUCUGGCUAGAAUACCGCCAAAAUCUUUGGGUUUGAAGAACAACUUUUACUACCCUCCAAGUUUCUUAGAAUACUAGGGUAUCUAAUCCUAUUUUUUGUUCUAAGGUUUUUAAUUCUAUUUGAUUUCUUAAGAGGGGGAAACCUUAAUGAUUUAGAUUUUACCCAGUACUUAAGAGUCCCCCUCACAUAAAUUAAUUAUUAUUUAUAAUAAGAAGGCCCUCACUGAAUUAUUUGUCUAACCGCGACGGG